CACAAUAUCCUAGAAGGUCCGUGGCUGGAGCAGGGAGAGAGCCUAGGGCGGGGGGAGGGGAGGAGAGCCGCCCGGGUGCCUGCGGCACCCGGUGCACCCGGGCGACCGCGGCGCGCCGCUUACCUUUCACCACCCUGUCGGUCGUCGACAACUUGGGAUCAAUUGCCUUGGGCUCGGACAUCUCCAGCCGCCGGGGGACAGCGACGCGCUGCUCGUCCGUCCUACUGCACACCCCGACCGGACUGGCGGGCCAACACUCAACGCCGCCGCCGCCGCCGCGCUGCAAACCGCUUGGCUGGAGGUCUGGGCUCUGAGCUGGCUUUAAAGUUACUGCCUUCUCCGCGCGUCCCUCCUCCUCCGCCGCCGCCGCCUUCACUCCUCCUCCACCGCCGCCAGCCCCUCCGACUCUGCUCCGGGCUGCGCGUGUGUGGUGGUUAUUUAUUUAUUUUCAAAGCACGCCUCUCGGUUCUUCUUUUAUUCUUGGGGGAAGGGGGAUGGGGAGGGGAAGCGCACACACGAGCACCCACCCUGGCACGGAGAUCAGGCACAGCGGAAUGGAUCCCCACGCGCGCACACUGCCGGGAUUAAGACCGAUCACAUGGGGAGGGCCGGGGGCGAGAGAGAGAGGCAGGGCCGCCGAUGUCAAUGCCACCAGCCGCGCCUCAGCGUCCCCGGCGGCUGAGAGGCGGACGCCGCUGCUGCUGCUGCCGCUGUUACUGCCGCUGCUUCCCCACACCGACCGCUGCCGCUGAUCCGCGGCCGCCAGAGACGUCCCGCCGCCGUGCUCGCCCGUGCCCGCCUCUGCCUCCCAGCGCCGCUCCUCCACUCACACAGGCACAGCCGUGGAGCUCGGCAGACACAGUCCGGGGCGCAACCUACCCUCCACCGCUGCCGCCUCCUCCGCCGCCGCCGCCACCGCUCCCGCCUCCUCCCCUUCCUCCUCCCGGCCCCCGCCUCUAUCGCCCCAGCAGCCUCCUCCUCCUCGCGGAGCCCGCCCCCUGGCUCCCCGCCCAGACGUUGGGUCAGCGGUCGCUUAUUGGCUAGCGUGUGCGUCACUCACCGCCAGUGGCGACCUCCUCGUGGGUCCCGCCUCCCGCUCCUCCUCUUCGUCCCCGCCCCCUGCUCUGUUUUCUCCUGGUUGCCAGUCCUGUGGGCCUGUCGCCUCCACCAACCAGUCCCCGCUCAGGUGUCACUGUUGCUGGCAGGCCGGGGUUAGGGAAGGAGAAUGGGCAGGGGUCGCGGUUGGGAGGAGAGAGGCCCUACUAUGCCACCCUCAGCCCGAUUUGGCCUCCUCCCCGGCACCCCGCACACACACCCCAUACACCCCGGGCCGCUUUGGCAACCGUGCCUCGUCGGCUGGGUCGAGCCGCAGUGUGGGACCGUGUGGUGGUCAUUUAUGUUUCCCACUUGUGCAUCCACACCUUCCGAGGAGGGGCCGCUCUGGAGCGUUGCGGCCCGAAGACUUGGCAGAGCGUGCUGGGAGCUCUAGGACGCUGGAGCAGACUGUCCACCGAGGGGCCACAGAAUGAAGAGCAGGUCUCCCUCUGCAAGAAGGUCACCUCACCCAGCACCUCUCCCCAACCAAGCUCAGCACCAAGGAAUUACAGUACAAACUCAAAAAGGAGUUUUACGAAUUGACUGCUGACCCUCGAGUGUGGCUUCAGCAGUGUGGCCUGCAAGGAAUAGGAGCUCACACUAGGAGGCAGGUGAGCCUCUAAGGAGGCCUUUUAGCAAAAGGAGACCAUUCUGGGUAUGUCCCUGGCUCAGAGAGACUGCCACUGGCUCCUAAUUCUGCUGCCCAAUUCAGAACCUGGGACAGUU
rnacentral:lncRNA from 1 species